rnacentral:rRNA from 1 species
AGCGAACGCUGGCGGCAGGCUUAACACAUGCAAGUCGAACGAAGUCUUCGGACUUAGUGGCGCACGGGUGAGUAACACGUGGGAAUAUACCUUACGCUGGGGGAUAACAUCGGGAAACUGAUGCUAAUACCGCAUACGCCCUUCGGGGGAAAGAUUUAUCGACGAAAGAUUAGCCCGCGUCCGAUUAGCUAGUUGGUGAGGUAAUGGCUCACCAAGGCUCCGAUCGGUAGCUGGUCUGAGAGGAUGAUCAGCCACACUGGGACUGAGACACGGCCCAGACUCCUACGGGAGGCAGCAGUGGGGAAUAUUGGACAAUGGGGGCAACCCUGAUCCAGCAAUGCCGCGUGAGUGAUGAAGGCCUUAGGGUUGUAAAGCUCUUUCGCACGCGACGAUGAUGACGGUAGCGUGAGAAGAAGCCCCGGCUAACUUCGUGCCAGCCGCCGCAGUAA